CACAGAAUUUCCUUUAACUCACAUCAAUUUUGGUAGCAAGACUGAGCAGUUUUGAGUCCUCUGCGUGCAUGCAUACCUCAUCAGUGAUGUACAUACUUCGCCUACUCCUAGGGCCAGUUGUGGUUACUCAUCCUCCUGUGCCUUCCCUAAGGCUAGCGACUGCAGGCUUCUGAAACACAGCCACGAGAAGUACAUUCCUUGUUUGUAACUGUAUUGUCAUAUGCAGAACAUGCCUGCCCUGUCAGUGCAGCAGACUCUAGCUCCCAGAAUUGUGUUGUUCGUGAUGCAGCAGGCAAGCAUUAACACAUAGGAAUGGUGUGAAGAGAAGCCACCUUAAGCUCCUUACAGUAUGUGAAUGAGGAGGACGACAGCUUUUUGACUAGUUGAGUGAGCUGUAGGCCUCAGUGAGCCUCACGGUCUAAAACAUGGUGAAUAAAAGUAAUGUCUUCAUACAAU
rnacentral:lncRNA from 1 species